GGAGAACACCAUAUUCAAUCAUCAAAUUCGGUCCAGAGGCCGGGAAAUACUGAAGUGCUACGAGGAUUCGCUCAAGUGAAGCGGCACCCACUCUUAUUUGAACUCGGCAGGGCUUGUGCCUAUGCCGGAGCUUGGAAUAAAGAAUAGUUCUCG